GUUACGUCAUAAACGAUGCUUCGUAUAAUCCCACUGAUAGGGUGUGGGAGUCUCUACCUGAAACCGCAAAUUUCAGAUUACGAAGAGUGAAGUGCAUUGC
rnacentral:ncRNA from 1 species